AUUCUCCAUUCUUUUGCAAGAUAGAUCCUAGGUAGCGAAAGCAGUCGCUCUUUGGUAUUUCCUAAUCUCCAAUCCUCACCCCUAACUCAUUUUGGCCUCCAUUUGCACUGAACUUGCACUCCAUAUAUUCUGUUUUUGAUCGGCUUAGGCGAAAACCUUUAGAUUCCAACACUUAUCUCCAAAGGUUAAGCUUCACAUUUAC
rnacentral:lncRNA from 1 species